UACGGAGGGUGCAAGCGUUAAUCGGAAUUACUGGGCGUAAAGCGUGCGCAGGCGGUUUGUUAAGUCUGUUGUGAAAUCCCCGAGCUCAACUUGGGAAUUGCAAUGGAUACUGGCAGGCUGGAGUAUGGUAGAGGAAGGUGGAAUUCCCGGUGUAGCAGUGAAAUGCGUAGAGAUCGGGAGGAACACCAGUGGCGAAGGCGACUACCUGGACCAGCACUGACACUGAGGCACGAAAGCGUGGGGAGCAAACAGG
rnacentral:rRNA from 1 species